rnacentral:rRNA from 1 species
CGUGUAGGCGGCCAGGUAAGUCGGAUGUGAAAGCCCGGGGCCCAACCCCGGAACUGCACCCGAUACUGCCUGGCUGGAGUCCCGGAGAGGAUGGCGGAAUUUCCGGUGUAGAGGUGAAAUUCGUAGAUAUCGGAAGGAACACCAGUGGCGAAGGCGGCCAUCUGGACGGUGACUGACGCUGGGACGCGAAAGCGUGGGGAGCAAACA